rnacentral:lncRNA from 1 species
CACACAGAGAAGAAUGCCUUAAUGGAGGAAGCAGAGACUGCAGUGAUAUGUCAAGGUGAGUGUCUCAAUUUAUUUGUGUUGCUCUUAAAAGAAGUACUUAGGAUUGAGUAACUUAUAAACAGUAGAAAUUUAUUUCCUCACACUUCCAGAGGCUCGGGUCCAAUGUCAAGGUGCUGGAAGGUUUGGUGUCUGAGGAGAGCCUGGUCUUUCCUUCCAAGAUGAUGCUUUAUUGCUGGAUCUUCUGGAAAGGAAGAUGCCAUGUCUUUCCAUGGUAGGAGGGACAGAAUACAAAGGGCAUAGCUAGUUCCCUCCAUACCUUCUUAUAAGGUCACUAGUCUCUCAUAACUUAGUUACCUCCUAAAGGCUCCACCUUUUAUUGCUAUCACAUUGGGGAUUAAGUUUCAACUUGUGAAUUUUUGGAGGGCACGUUUAGCAAGGAACACAAAGGAUUGCAACAGCCACCAGAGUCUGAGAAGGAGGGAGCCCUGGAGCAAAUUCACCCUCACAGCCUCCAAGAAGGAUCAUGCUGGCUGACACCUUGGGUUUAGAUUUCUGUCUUCCUUCACUGUGAGAGAAUAGAUUUUUGUUGUUUUUAAGAUUUCCAAUUUGUGAUACUUUGUUAUAGGGGCUUGGGAAACGAAUACACCAUCUGAUAUGCAUUAUGUUAUUUACCAAUUUGUUUAUCUGUCUCCCUAUUAGGAAGGAAAGGAUUCUUUCUAUCUAUGUUGUUUUCUGCCAUGUCUCCCAUGGCUGGCACAGUGCCUGGCACAGAGCAGAUACCACAAAUACUUCCUGGAAAAAUGAAUACAAGUUUAUUCAGCUGGGCCUGCCAUGUGAUGAUCCAAUGCAAGAAUAUUUCUAGAGUCCACUGUUGAGGGCCUACUGGAUUUUUGGUUUGUGACUGAGAGACAGAAGCCUAAGUUGAGAGGCAGUGCCAAGACUUAGGGCAAAGCCAGUGGGAUUUUACAGGAAUGCAAACCUAGAAUUUUAUCCUCAUGUCAUUUUAAUCCAUUACGUUCAAUGGCUUACAUGGCCGAAGCCUUCCUAACCUGGCACACUAAGCAGCUGGCUUAAUGGUAUGUGUGCGUAUGUGUGUGUGUGUGUGUGUGUGUGUGUGUGUGUGUGUAUGUGCACACUAGUGUAUGUUGUGUGCAUAUGUAAGUGUGUACACAUGGUGUUUGAGAAAUAAAUAUUUCUGAGAACUGUCACUCUAUUACCAUCCUGAUAAAAUUAUUCUUAUUUUGAUUAGGUGCUUGCUAAUUUGUAUGUUCUCACGUUUUCAUAGAUCUCUGCCCAAAUGCAUAAUAAAUGAGAUUCAGGGAAUGGGGAUUUAGCUCAGUGGCAAAGAGCCUUCCUGGUAAGUGCAAGGUCAUGAGCUCGAUUCUGGUACCAGAAGAAAAACAAAACAAAAUGAAAAAAAUAAAAUAAAUGAGGUUCAACCUCACUGUCAAUCAUGUGAUCUGACCAUGAUUCCUAGAAAACGACAGGCUAGACUUUGAUGGUUUGUUCACUAGUCUGUAUGACUGCCUAUGGUCUAAUUUGCCUAAUUUGUGGCCCUUGUAAAAAGCUGCUAAUAAUUUCAAGAUGGUAACAGAAGAACAAUGAACCAAGUGUGAG